rnacentral:rRNA from 1 species
UACGUAGGGGGCGAGCGUUGUCCGGAUUCAUUGGGCGUAAAGAGCUCGUAGGCGGCUUGGCAAGUCGGGUGUGAAUCUCUGGGCUUAACUCAGAGAGGCCACUCGAUACUGCUAUGGCUAGAGUCCGGUAGGGGACCAUGGAAUUCCUGGUGUAGCGGUGAAAUGCGCAGAUAUCAGGAGGAACACCGGUGGCGAAGGCGGAUG